UACGGAGGGUGCAAGCGUUGUUCGGAAUCACUGGGCGUAAAGGGCGUGUAGGCGGUCCGCUAAGUCUGAUGUGAAAGCUCGAGGCUUACCCUCGGAAGUGCAUUGGAGACUGGCGGACUGGAGUCCCGGAGAGGAGGGUGGAAUUCCUGGUGUAGCGGUGAAAUGCGUAGAUAUCAGGAGGAACACCGGUGGCGAAGGCGGCCCUCUGGACGGUGACUGACGCUGAGACGCGAAAGCGUGGGGAGCAAACAGG
rnacentral:rRNA from 1 species